GGGCUACAGUUCUUAGCAGGAGAGAGAGAGCGAGGAGUUGUCAGGAAAGCUGCAGGUUACUUUGAGACAGUCGUCCCAAAUGCAUUAGAGGAACUGUAAAAAUCUGCCACAGAAGGAACGAUGAUCCAUAGUCAGAAAAGUUACUGCAGCUUAAACAGGAAACCCUUCUUGUUCAGGACUGUCAUAGCCACAGUUUGCAAAAAGUGCAGCUAUUGAUUAAUGCAAUGUAGUGUCAAUUAGAUGUACAUUCCUGAGGUCUUUUAUCUGUUGUAGCUUUGUCUUUUUAUUUUUCUUUUCAUUACAUCAGGUAUAUUGCCCUGUAAAUUGUGGUAGUGGUACCAGGAAUAAAAAAUUAAG
rnacentral:lncRNA from 1 species